rnacentral:lncRNA from 1 species
ACCUGUGUGUAUAUUAGACACCCCGGCCUCCUCACAACCUGUGUGUGUAUUAACACCCCGGCCUCCUCACUACCUGUGUGUGUAUUAGACACCCCGGCCCCCUCGCUACCUAUCAACUAUGGCCUGAGUAUGAUAGACUUAUCCAUGGUUUAAACAGAAUAUAUUGUUUUCAACUUUGAAAAUAAGAAUAUGGAAAUCCAGAUGCAGAAAUGUGAGAAGAAAAGAGAGUAAACAGAGUGGAAGGUCAGGUGACCUUGCCUGUCAUGAAUAUGAAGGUCAAGGUGUGUGAAUUGUGAAAUUUCCAAGAGAACCUCACUGAAGCAAAGAAUGGAGAAAGAAUCGCAUUUGGCCCUGGGAGCGUGCAGGGGUGAAUGGUGCAGGAGCUAAAUCUUUAUCAUACCCAGAAAUCAACAGCCACUAUUUGAAAUCAUCUAAAUUCGUGCUGCUAACCUUCAGUGUACACACAAAUCACCUGGGGAUCUUAUUAAAAGCUAGUUUCUGAUUCACUAAA